CACGUAGGCACCAAGCGUUGUCCGGAUUUAUUGGGCGUAAAGAGCUCGUAGGCGGUUCAGUAAGUCGGGUGUGAAAACUCUAGGCUCAACCCAGAGACGCCACCCGAUACUGCUGUGACUUGAGUACGGUAGGGGAGUGGGGAAUUCCUGGUGUAGCGGUGAAAUGCGCAGAUAUCAGGAGGAACACCAGUGGCGAAGGCGCCACUCUGGGCCGUAACUGACGCUGAGGAGCGAAAGCGUGGGUAGCAAACAGG
rnacentral:rRNA from 1 species